UCUUUUAAUUGGGGGCUGGAAUGAAAGGUUGGAUCUAAGAGGAGAAGUUUUAUUAAAUUAUUUUGAAUUUAAUUUAAAAGUAAAAAAGCUUUUAUAAUUCUUUGGGACGAGAAGACCCUAGAAGCUUUAUAAGAUAAUUCUUUUUAAUUGGGGCAAUUAAUUGAAGAUAAAAAUUUUUAAUUUUUAAUUUUGUAGUAAUUAAGUUACUCUAGGGAUAACAGCGUUAUUUAAUUGAAGAGUUCUUAUUAAGAGUUAAGUUUGCGACCUCGAUGUUGAAUUAAAAUUAAAAAUUGGUGAAGGAGCUAAUUAUUUUAGUCUGUUCGACUAUUAAAAUUUGCCGCAGUUUUAUGACUGUGCUAAGGUAGCAUAAUCAUUAGUCUUU
rnacentral:rRNA from 1 species